UGGUGGAGUGAGGCGUGUGGUACAGUGCGCUCCCGUUCGACUUCAAUAUUACCAUUUGUUUCUACGCGCAAACAACGUAUACGAGAUGGCAGAGAAGUGCUUGGUCUCGCAGUGCUGCUGCGGUUGUUCGCUGCGCUCGGGAGCCUUGGGAACUGGCAUCUUCUGUUUGGUGACAGGCCUCCUUGCCCUACUCUCCGCCAUCUAUGGGUUGAUCACUACAAGUGAGUAAAUGAGAUAAUAAUUCAAUUAUCUAUAUUCGAAUCACGCACCCCUUACGUUUUUCAUACCCGAAUGACCAAUCUGAUUGGUUUAAUUUUCGUCAAUCAAAUUUCACAGAGAGCAAAUCUACAAAAAAAUUUAUGAGAUUUCUAAAUUGCAAUAAUAAAAAUAAUACAUGCACACAAUGAAUGCUUUUCUAAAAGAACUGUGCUUGGAACUUGUAAAAAAAAAACUUUUUGAAACACCGACCGAAGAUCAAUAUCUACUCGAAAGAAAACCCUUCAAAAUAUUUACUUACUAAUCAAGCAUUUAUUACAAACCAGUACAGUUCAACGCGUUGAAUAAUUGUCAAAUAUAAUGAACAAUCAGCACGAGCCAGAGAUUGAUUGAUUCAGAGAUUGAUUUUCUAGCAGAUUUAAAAAUCCCAUAAGGCUGAACUCCCAUGUCAACAAGCAUCGUUGACAUCCACUUUUUACAUACCAUUUAACUCUCGUUUAAAAAUACGAUAGAUUCUUGAUUUCCUCACAAAAUUGAUAUUUACUAAAUUAAAGUAAAUAUUCG
rnacentral:lncRNA from 1 species